CAGCCGCCGCGUUAAUACGUAGGUCCCGAGCGUUGUCCGGAUUUAUUGGGCGUAAAGCGAGCGCAGGCGGUUAGAUAAGUCUGAAGUUAAAGGCUGUGGCUUAACCAUAGUACGCUUUGGAAACUGUUUAACUUGAGUGCAAGAGGGGAGAGUGGAAUUCCAUGUGUAGCGGUGAAAUGCGUAGAUAUAUGGAGGAACACCGGUGGCGAAAGCGGCUCUCUGGCUUGUAACUGACGCUGAGGCUCGAAAGCGUGGGGAGCAAACAGGAUUAGAUACCCCGGUAGUCCCUGUCUCUUAUACA
rnacentral:rRNA from 1 species